GGUUAGGUCACUACUUACUGUAGGCAUAUGAGCUCAGCGGGGAGUCAGGUACUAUAUACGGCAGGAGUGGGGCAAUGACUCAGCGCUGCACUGAUCAUCACAGUGACUGCAGAAUGUUCACUUCACAGAACGUGUUCUCACUUGGCUUUGUCUCUUCGGGGACAUGCUGUAACUGGCACCAUUCAAAGUCUCCAGAGGCUGAUUGGAAACUGUAUCGUCUGUGUCGUCACCUGGGUCCUUUCCAGACUUCACUUCCAGUCCUUUUUCGUGAUGUAAGAACAUGGUGGGAAGGAGUUGGCUCACAACGAGAGCUGGGAUGAUUGCCAUUGAGUGCUGUAUGCGGAGCACGAUGCCCACCGAUAAAGGGAAGCAAUGAGAAAGAAGCCGCUUUUUGACUCACAAGCAAACCUGCACUUGUCUGUCAUCGGCCCAGAUUUUUCACGUGGGUCCCACAGUGCACCAGGAAAACACAGAGCAUGAACGGAGGAUAGACAUUCGCUUGGCAGAACCGAGACCCCCACCCCAGCA